rnacentral:tRNA from 1 species
GGCCCGGUAGCUCAGUGGAUAGAGCACUAGUCUUCGGAACUAGGUGUCGGGGGUUCGAAUCCCUCCCGGGUCGCCA